GUAAGAUUGCAGUUUUCAAAAAUAAAAAGUUUGAAAACAUCAUUUAGUCGAAUUUAACUUCAAUAUUAUCACAAUUUUUCGUUUCAUAAACAAUCAGCAACUUUUGCAAUAUUUCGUGUUUGAGGCAAAUUAUUGUCCAUCGUAAGACGUGUUCAAAGGCGUUCCAUUCGGCUAUAAUAUACAUUUACAUAAAAUAUAAGGAUACUUACUGCUUCUUAAGUAUUGAUUGAUUUUUAAUAUUAUUCGAGCUAACGCUUUUUAAGCGAAAGUUAGAAAGCAAAUAUAUCUUUUGACAUGAAACGUUCAAAAUUCGGAAAAAUCCGCGAAAACUUUUGCAGGCUCGAAAAAUCCGGCGAAUAAAUCCGCAGAUCUGGCAGCACUGGAGACGAUCAAAUUAACGGCCGUCAAAUAAAAGUAUAAAAAAUUUUUGAUUUUCAUCAAACAGAGCCGACAAAAGCCGAUGACACCAAUACACUUAAAGCGUUUAAUGGAAUUACUUGAUCGCCUGAAGGGCACCUUAGAGCAUGCGAAUUGCUUUUGAAACGAUGAUGCUUUUGAAACGAGAUGUUCAUUGUGUAAAACAGGACAUUUUGUAGACUAGUAUCUCUCGUAUAUUCAUGUUUAUUUUUUAUUAAAACUUUAAAACCUUCUGAAUAACUUUUCGCAUUUUUUCGGAAAGGAACCUGCGCAAAAAAGGUGGACAGAAUCCUAAUCAUGACUAAAAAAAUAAAUUUUAAUGCCAACAAGCCGAUAAUUGAUGAAAAUAUAAGAUAUGUGUGCAUUAAUCAUAAAAACAAGAGAAAUUCGUAAACUGGGCAUUUGAAAACAUUAAAAUUUGCUAACAUAUCUUGUUCAAAACAAAAAAAAAUGUUUUGUAGAGCUCUGUAAUUACUUGUGGCAGUUAUAUCAUCAAUGUUUGAGGAAAUUUCACAUAUCUUGAAUGUAUGAUCAGUAAAAUUUCUUAUACUGAAGUAAUAAUUACAUUUUGUAUGUACCAUAUUAGCAAGUUACAAUUGGGCUAAAAACAACAUAUCAAUGUAAAAUUAUGCUUAUGACGUUCGCUCAAACAUAAUGUCAUGUACAAUCAUGAUCACAUGAAAAAUUUGUAGUCAACCCGAAGGAGAAAACUGCGGCAAUACCGAACAACCAUUUUGUGCGUUAUAUAUUUUUGCAAUCAUUGCUGUACUAUGCGGUAUAUAUACAUAGUAUGUAAUACAAGCGUACAAAAAUAUAUACUUAUGUACAUAGGGGAUAGAGUCGACGAACUAAUGACUUCUAUAAGCUACAAGUAAACUGUUGAAUAAAAGAUAUGUAUACUGUUAGAGAACAGAAGGUGGUUGUUAAAUGAUAUGGUCUCACGCCCACUAACUAUGCAGUCAGCAACAGCAGAAAAGCCGCAUAAAAAUCGAUAAUUCUCAUUUGUUUCAAACGACUGUAGCAACAUCAACAGUUACAACGUCUGCAAUAAAAGAAUAAAAGUGGCAUAAGCAAUAUUCCGAAAAGCAGUUAGAAAGAAUGGUAAAAUGGUGCUUUAUAUCACUUUACAUAUUAAUAGUUAUGCAGGAUGGAUGGGAAAGCACAAACUGAUUCAGUUAUAAAUUAAUAUAUUAAACUUGGGCUUUGUAUUGGAAUUAAGUUAAACAUAUAAACUUCGCGGGUCGUUAGUAUCUGAGCGAUGCCACGCCCACAACAGAUUACCAGUCAAAAUUUUACGAAUUACUACAAUUAUGCUAUCAAUUAAAAUAUAAAAUUGUUGUAAAAGGUGUCAUUCAUUAGUAGAUAAAAUUUUUUAUAAUGUACAUACGUAUUUUCAUACAAAAAAAACAAUAU